UGGCACAAACACUGCCCGUGUGCUAAUCCAGCAUCUAAUCCUGAGAGAGAGAUAGGGUGUCUCCCCCACACUCAUCCAGCCCCAGCACCAAACAGGAGCCUUUCUGGCUGUGCUGUCAGGCCAUCUUCCCCCUCCGGGCUUGCUCACACUCCACGAGUUGAAGUUUGGGUUUUACAAAGAUCCCUGUGGGUGCUGGAUGGGCCAGCCCCUAGGCCACCUGUGUCCCAGGGAAUCUGCCGCCACCUGCAAGGAGCAGGCAGAUCUUCCUCCUGGCGUCUCACAGGGGCAUCUCCUCCCUCCCUCAUCAGGGCAGCUGCGGGCACCGGGCUGCGUGACCAGCAGGCUCCUGGCUCCUCCUCUCGCUCCAGCCAGCUUGCUCGGGCACCCAGAUCAACACCUCCGCUGGCCCUUCCUGUGAUGCCACGGCCCCACUGUCCACAGCCGACACCCAGCCCCUUGGCUGGCCCCGCCACCUCACCCGAGAAGGGUCAGCGUCAGGUGCUGGAGGACAAAGAAGCCUCGCGCUAAGCCCCCUCUGGACCCCUAAAUCCUGCCUGUGCGUCUGCGCCAACUCCUGCAUCCUGCUAAUGUUGCUGCCAGCCGCCCCCGGGAGCACUCAGCAGUGGCACUCAAAUGUUAAGUGAGCCCCAGGCCCACCUCCUUCCAAAUGUCACUUUCUGGAGAGGAGCUCCGAGCCUCAGGGCCCAGCCCGCCCCCAGUGACACAGGCUGCUGCAGAACUGCCCCCGCAGCCCCUUCCCCACCCCAAGUUCCACAGGGCACAGGGUCCCCCAGCCCCCAAGUCCAGGCCCAGGGCUGGGCUUGACGCAUGUAUCAAGCGCCCUCUGACUCCACCAUGACUGUGUUUCAGGUCCACACAGCUCAGCCAUAGAUGGGACCCGCAAUCCAUGCAGCUAAGGAAACAGACCGGCUGGAGGUUCUGUCUUCCCUGCUGUGCUGCUCCCUUCAGAGCAUUCUAGAAGGCGGAGCUCUGUCGUCCUGGGGCACUGGCUGACUCCAUGGAGCAGCCCCCAGCCUCACCCCUGCCAGUCUGCAGCAGCUCUGAGUGAAAAGAAACAGAGCUUUUCUUUGUUACAUCACUGAGGCUGGGCCAUCCACAGCCUGUGCUGCGAAAUCAUCCACCAGAGGUAAGAACUGGCUGAAAGGCGACAGGAAGGACCCAAAGUGCUCCCCUUGUGCUCGCCUGCCUUCGAUCUCCACAUCCAGAAAAUGGGUGCAAGAGUAGGUCCAGCUCUACCCUGCUUCUCCCCCUGCAGAGGCUGCAGGAAAUGGAGUGUGAAGGCUGCCCUUGAGGAAACACCUCUCCGAUGGUCCACGUUGGCACCUAAAACUCCACCACUGCCGCCUUCCUGGGAUUAGACAC
rnacentral:lncRNA from 1 species